GUAAUACAGAAUAGAGAUUCACAGGGUUUUAUGGGUCACCUUACAUACAUAAUAAAACUACUUCAUGGAAUUUAUUAAGAACCUUGGGGAAGGAACAAUACUAUCCUUGGCUAGUUUGUGGCGAUUUUAAUGAAAUAAUGUAUUCUUUUGAAAAAAAAAGGGAGGUCAGCCGAGGGAGGAGAAAAGGAUGGAAGCAUUCUGCGAAGUACUAGAAGAAUGUCAACUUAUUGAUGUGGGUUAUACGAGAGUAUGGUAUACGUGGGAGAGAGGGAAUCUACCAAGUACAAAUAUUAGAGAAAGACUGGAUAGGGGUGUUGCAAAUGAAAAAUGGAUGAAACUUUUCCCAAGAGGCAAUAUACAUCACUUAACGUCUUCACUUUCUGAUCAUUGCCCUCUUUUCAUUAGCACAACCAAUGCUGAUAGUAUCAAAGGAACUCCAAGAUUUAAAUUUGAGGCAUGGUGGACUGCAGAGGAGUCGAUUGAAGAAAAGAUUAGGAAAUCAUGGGAGUCGUCAAGUGGAUCUCUAGUUGUAACACCCUAACCUGUAUCCGUCAUCGAAUUAGGGUUAAGAGGCAUUACUAAUCAAAACAGAACUUAAAACAGACAUUCAGUAUAGUUCAAUAAUUUUAACGGUUACAUAUAAAUUGCUAGGUCUAAUAUUAAACAUGCAAAAUUUUAAACUUCUCUUUAAAAUUAAAAUCCAGUUAAAGCAUAAGAAUAUAAGCCAUUUUUGUAUGGCUAUUAAUUUCAUAUACAAUAUAUCAAAGUACGACUUUCCAAAACAUUUAUCUAGCCUGUGCAUGUCAUAAUUAAAAUUUAAACAGUUUAAUACCGAGACAGUAGAUAGAGUAAUGAUAUUGCUGACGAUCCCCGAGCUUGAAGCUUGAUAUUUAAAUAUAUAAAAUAGAAAGAUAUAAACAAACAAAGUAAGCUUUUAUAGCUUAGUAAGUCUAUUGCAUAAUGAAAUAUAUAUAAAUAAUAUAACUUUUUAAUUUAAUUUACUGAGAUUGCAAUUAACACAUAUAAUUAAUAUUUAUACAUUUACUGUACUCAGACCAUUUUAUUUAUAGUCAAAUAUAUGUACAUGUCGAAAUGCGUUCAAUUGAAUAUAUAUAUAUAUUUAUACCAAACAACAUUACAACCAAAUGAAUAUAACCGAGCAUAUAUGUAUGUUAUACACAUAUCAUAUCCAACUGUGUAUGUAUACUCAUAAUAAACUUAUAACCAAAUACAAAUCUAAUACAUGUGACCGAAUGCAUUCAUCUUCAUCAAAUAAUUAUAAAUAGAGGUGUAUGCAUUUCGAAUGCAUAUGUAGAUACUUAUCAAAUACAUAUAUCGAAUAUUUAUACGUAUACAUUUAUCGACUGCAUAAAUCGAAAGCAUGUAUGUAUAUUUUACAAAUGCAUAGACCGAAUAUGUACAUAUUCAUUAAACACACUUAGUCGAAGGUAUAUAUGCUCAUCAAUUAAAGAUAACCAAAAUCAUAUAACUGUACACUUAAUCACAUACUUUAAACAGAUUCACUGGCACUUAGCCUGCUAGAUUUAAAGCCUGAUUCAGUACACCGGCACUUAGCAUGCUAGACAUAUAGUCUGAAAUGUUUCACCGGCAUUAAGCCUACUAGAUGUAAAGUCUGAUAUUGUUUCACCGGCAUUAAGCCUGCUAGACAUAAAGUCUGAUAUUGUUUCACUAGCAAUAAGCCUGCUAGGCGCUAAGCCUGAAAUCUCAAUUUCACAUACACAAAAUAAUUUCUCGAAAAAUUCUUAAUAGCAAACACGUGUUUGUUGUAGUCCAUGUUUAAUCAUAAAAGAGUUUACAAAUCAUACUGUCAAUUCAAUUCAAGUAUUUAUAAAUUUAUAAACAUAUAUAUAUAAUUGAACCUCACAUAUGAAAAUAUAAGAUUUUAUAUCUUUAAUUCAAUCUAAGAACCUAUAUACGAAUAUACAUAUAGAUAUAUUCGAACUCUCAUAUACGUAUUUAACAUUUAUACCUUUAGCUAAAAUCAUAAACUCAUACAUGUAUAUACAUUUAUAUUCGAAUCUAUAUGUAUAUAUAUACACAUUCUUGUCUUUAUCUAAGUUCAUAAUUUAUUCAUGUAUAUAUACAUAUAUAUAAUUACUUAACUAAAUUCAAUACAAGAAAUUUACAUGUAUAUAUACACGCUUAAUCGAAAAUAACAUAUAUAUUUAAUUUCAUACCUAAGUUCAAUAUAAAAACAUAUAUAUGUUUACAUUUUACCCCUGAUAUUUACAUUUUUUUGCAAUUUAGUCCCUAUUACAUAAAACACAAAAUACACAAAAUUUGCCCAUACUAUACAAGGGUCGAAUGUUCCUAGUGCUCAUACAAGUCCACAAAUUUCAUUUAUUUCACAUUUUAGUCCCUCAAAAUUUUAAUUUCACAAUUUAGCCCUAAUUACUCAAUUUCACAAAAAAUUCAAAGACAAAACACGUUAACCUUUCACAUAUCUUUCAUAUUUCAUCAUCAACUACCACAAAGCUCAAGCAUUCAUCAAUGGCAUAUCACAAAAUCAACACCAAAUUCUAAAAUUAAAGCAUGGGUCUUGUAGUACACAAAGCAACGAUCUCAAAAACGUAAAAAUUUUCAAAAACCGAACAAAAACAAACCUUUAAUUAAGCAAGGAUAUGGCCGAACUUUAGAAAGCCAUAGUUGAGCUUCUUUUUGCUUAACAUUCGGCUUGGAGAAGAUGAUAAAAUCAUCUUUUCUUAAGUUAUUUUAACUAAUAUAUAUUUUAAUUACUUAAUGACUACUUUAACCUUAGUUUAAUUAAUUAUAAAACAUAUAACUUAAGGGCAAUUUAGACCAUUGCAGCCCACUAACUAUUAAACGGCCUAAUUUCCAUUUAUAACCCUUAUUUUUAAAAGACAACAACAAUUGGGUGCUUUUAAAUUUAACCCUUAAAUUUUUAUUUUACGCGGUUAAGCCCUUUUUAUCAAAUUGUGCACUCAAACGAUCAAAUUUUUAUACAAAAUUUUUACACAUAGUAAUUCACAUACUGAAAAUAUCAAAAAUAAUUUUAAAAUAUUUUUUUUACUUGGAUUUGUGGUCCCGAAACCACUUUGUCCGAUUAGGGUCAAGAUCGGGUUGUUACACUAGUUGAAAAAUUUGAAAGACUACAGAUCAGCCUGUCAAGAUGGGCAAAAUCAAUAAAGACUGACGAAUAAAUUCACAAAGGAGCUAGAGAAUUUAAUGGAGAAAGAAAGAGAUGACGAUACAAUGGCACAGAUAAUUAAUACGAGAAUCCAUUUAAAUAUGGAAAUUGAUAAAGAUGAGAUGUAUUGGGAACAAAGAGCAAAAGCAAAUUGGCUUCAGCUAGGGGAUAAGAAUACGACAUUUUUUCACAAAUAUGCCUCAAUACGAAAGCGAAUUAACAUGAUAAACAGGCUGGACACAGAUGAUGGAAAGGAGAUUUUUGAAGAACCAGAAAUAAUUGAGACUGCCACAACGUACUUCUAGAAUCUUUUUUUGUCUAAUGGGGUAGGGAAUCUAUCUCACUUUUUAUCAGGUAUCAAGACUAGCAUUUCUUCUGACAUCAACACAAUUCUAUUGGCAAAAUAUACGGCAGAAGAGAUCUUUAGUGCAGUAAAAGGAAUGGGGCCCACUAAAGCACCAGGUUAUGAUGGCUUUCCGGCACUUUUCUUUCAAAAAUACUGGCAUAUUGUGGGAAAAGAUAUCGAAGGUUUUUGCUUGGAAGUUUUGAAUGACGGUAAAAUUUUUGAAUAUUCAAACUAACUGAGAUAGUACUUAUUCCGAAGAUUCCCAACCCCACAAAUCUUGUUAACUUUAGACCUAUCAGUUUAUGCACAGUCAUAUACAAAAUUGUAGCCAAAACUAUUGCUAAUCGUCUUCAGGAAUUUAUUGGAAGAUGUAUUGACAAUGCUCAAAGUGCGUUCAUUCCGGGAAGAUUAAUUUCCGAUAAUGUGCUAAUUGCCUAUGAAAUUCUACAUACACUUCGGCAAAAAAGAACUGGGAAAAAAGGAUUCAUGGCAGUGAGGCUAAACAUGAGCAAAGCCUAUGAUAGAGUUGAGUGGGCAUUCUUGAAGGAAGUAACGCUUCGUAUGGGUUUUGCAGAGGAAUGGGUGUAAUUAAUUAUGAGAUGUAUUUCUACAGUCUCUUACGUAGUAAAUAUCAAUGGGAGGAGAGGUAAUGUCUUAAAACCUACUAGAGGACUCCGACAAGGUGACCCACUUAGCCCUUUUCUUUUUCUGAUUUGUAGUGAGGGACUUUCGUCCUUACUUAGGACAGCAACAGCAGGGGAUUUGAUAAAAGGAGUUAAAGCUAAUAGAAGGGGCCCGGCGAUUUCACAUUUACUAUUUACGGAUGAUUGUAUCCUAUUUAGUGAAGCUACAAAAAAUAGAACAACGAUCUUAAAAGAUAUUCUGAAGGAAUAUGAGAUGUGCUCAGGUCAAUGUGUGAACUUUAACAAGUCCACGAUUUUCUUCAGCUCUAAUACAGUGGAAAGGAAAAAAGAAGUUAUCUCAACUGAUAUGGGAAUCAGGCGUUCAAAGAAUAUGAAGAAAUACCUAGGAUUGCCUAAUAUGGUAAGAAGGCAAAAGAAGGAAUCUUUUCAGAACCUCAAGGAUAGGAUUAAGCAAAGGAUCGAGAAUUGGAGUACACGGCUUCUAUCAUAAGGGGGAAAAGAGGUUUUUAUAAAAUCAGUUCUUCAGGCAAUACCAACUUAUGCUAUGGCAUGCUUUCUUCUACCAAAAUCAUUAUGUGGGGAGUUUGAAAAUACUUUUGCUAGAUUCUAGUGGCAAAAAUGUCAAAGAAAGAAAGGAAUUCAUUGGUGUAAAUGGAAGACUGUGUGCAACUCUAAAGAGAAGGGAGGAAUGGGAUUUAGAGAUAUGACUCAGUUUAAUAUUUCCUUACUAGCUAAACAAGGUUGGAGAAUUAUUAAUAAUCAGGAUGGUCUUGUUACGCAAGUAUUCAAAGCUAAAUAUUUCCCAAAUGACCAUUUUUUAAAUUCCCGUUUGGGAAAUUCUUGCUCCUAUGUGUGGAAAAGUAUUUGGGCAGCAAAGGCUCUACUGGCAAAAGGACUAUGCUGGAGGGUUGGUACGGGUUCUAAUAUAUCCGUUAAUGAUGAUGCUUGGAUUCCGGAUGCAGCAAAUUUUAGAUUAUCAACAGUGAACAAUUCAAUGCGUGAUUUUAAAGUAAAUGAAUUAAUUGAUAGUAACAAGAGGCUUUGGAAGAGGGAAUUGAUAAAUAGUACCUUCACAGGAGAAGACGCUGUAAGAAUCCUUCGAAUCCCUCUGGCACGAACGCCUCAUGAGGAUUUCCUCAUUUGGGGAGGUGAAUUGUUGGGUGAGUUCACAGUCCGAAGUGCCUAUAAACUAUUACAGAGCUCAGAUAAAAAUCCUAGCGCUUAUGCGUUACAAUUUAUCUAUAGGAAAUUUUACAAAAAACUUUGGGGCCUGAAUCUACCAACAAAAAUAAAAAUUACAAUAUGGAGAAUAUCAUGGAACUUUUUGCCUACAAAAGUGAAUUUACAACACAGGAAGCUAUCAACUAGUACAAGCUGCCCCCGAUGUGAAGCAAGAGCUGAAACAAUGGACCACCUAUUUCGAGAGUGCCCUGUUACAAUAGAAGUAUGGAUAGUGUAAUACCCAAUUUUAGCCCGGGCUCACAUAUGGAAACAUAAUUUUUGAGGAUAUGCAAUCUUAGAUAUGAUAUGCAAUCCAAGAUAUGAUAUAUGCAAUCUUAGAUAUGAUAUGCAAUAUUAGAUAUGAUAUAUAAUCUUAGAUAUGAUAUGCAAUCUUAGAAUAUAUGAUUUUGUAAUCUUAGAGAUUUAAUUUGUAGAUACCCUUUAAUCUCACCCGUUGAUGUAACUGAUUUGUACCGUUGGAUUUGGGGAGGCUCAGCUAUAAAUAGAGGCCUCUCCUUUCAUUGUGAAAAAAAAAAGAGAAAAGAGGAGGAGGAAUAAAAAAGAACGAUUGGCAGUUUUUUAAACGUGGCUUACUAUUUUUUUCUUUCGAUUAUUAUUUUUUACUUAUUUACGAUUUUAAAAAAGGGAGAAGGUGAUACCACUGUGAAUUUUAUUUAUUUUUUUUAUUUAGCCCCUCCGCCUUUAAAUGUCUUUAUAAUUAGGUUAUUUUUAUUUUUUUAAAUUCACUCUUUAAUUUAUUUUAAUUUCAAUUUAACCCUUCUUGAACGACACCGUUUUAGAGGAGAAGGGAAAAUUGCCCUUCCAGCCCCUCUAUGUAAUUCGCGCGUUCAAUUUGGUCCUCCAGACUUUAUUUAUUUACGGAUUCACCCCUGUUUUUUUACUUGCUACCCAAUUUAGUCCUUUUUUCCCAUAUUUUUCUUAAAAUCAGUAUUUCUAAUAAUUUUUUUUAUAAAAUUAUUGUUAUUAUUAUAUGUAUAUAUACAAAUAUGUUUCUUUUGUAUGUAUUUAUACCUUAAAAACUAAUAUUUUUUUUGUAUACUUUUAGACACAUGUUUUAUUAAUUUUGAUAUUAUUUUAAUUAUUUUAAACUUACAUAUUUUCAUGGGUACAUGUAUUUUUUUUGUUUAUUUCAAUCAUCUGUCUAUUAAUUUAGGUUUACGUGUUUUUUUAUCAUGUCCAUUUAUUUGAUAUUUUGCAGGCCAUUAUUUUAUUUAUUUGUUCAUAUAUUUGCAUUAUUUCUAUGCUAUCGUAGUAUUUAUUAUUGCAUUAUAUAUUUAAUGUAGCAUAACAUUACAUUUUUUACUCGAUUUUUUUAAAAAAAUCAAACUUUUUUUAAAAUGGAUAUUCUUUUAAUCAAAAUAAGAGCUCAUUAUUGGGAAUUCAACACGUUGUGUCCUAACGUAUUGGAUGUAACGCAUUGAUUUCUUGAAAUGAAGAUUUUUUAAAAAUCGUAAAGGAAAUAUUCCGAGUUUGGGAUUCUAAAGGAAUCGUGCCCUAACGUAUUGGGUGUGAUUUCUUAAAUCUUGGAUAAGCGGAUGUUCUUGGAUAAGGAAAUAUUCCGAGUUUGGGAUUCUAAAGGAAUCGUGCCCUAACGUAUUGGGUGUGAUUUCUUAAAUCUUGGAUAAGUGGAUGUUCCUUUAAAGUUUUAUUGUACAAGUAUUUUGGCCCAAUUUAUUUUUGGGGGAAAAUUAGAAUGCUGUGCCCUAACGCAUUGGGUGUGGUAUCUUCUUUCUCUGAAAUAAUAAGGGUCUUAAUAUGUAGCCUUUUAAGUUUUGCUAAGGAUUACGUUUUUUCCAAAUUCUCUACCUUAAGACACUAAUUAAUUAACUAGGUACCAAUUUUGGGCGUUACGAGGGUGCUAAUCCUUCCUCAUACGUAACUGACUCCCAGAUCUGUUUUUCUAAAACUCGUAGACCAAAGCCGUUUUUUUUAGGUGAUCCAAUCACACCCUAAUAAAGAUUGGUGGCGACUCCCAAUUUUAAUUUUUUAAAAAGUCGACAACCUAAAAUAUUUUUGUUUUUCAAAAGAUGGUUUCGACAGAUAACAUUAUCAAUUCAGAAUAUUAUAAUGGCCCAGAGCAUGGAUUUCGUACAGUGGAUUACUUGGGGGUUAGAACAACUCAACCCUUGUCAAAGCCGUUUAUUCUGCUGCGCAUUGUGGGCCAUAUGGGGAGAUCGAAACAGGAGAAUACACGAAGGAAAAGUUAGUAAUGGGAAAGAAAUUGCAAAUUUCACCAGCAAUUGCAUUAUUGAGCUAACUGGUUUUGAAAAAAAGGAAAUUGGCAAAAAAUUAUAGAAAACAAGAGAUGACAGCACCCACAUAGUGAGUUCAUAAAGAUAAAUUUCGAUGGAGCAUAUAAUGAGAGUUAGUAUUGUUCAGCCUCAGGUAUUGUGGCCAGAGAUGCUGAAGGAAGAGUUCUGUUAUCCUAUUUAGAGAUACAAAGUAACAUUACCUCUGCAUUUGCGGCGGAAGCAAUAGCUUGCUGGAGAGCGAUUCAAAUAGGAGUUGAUAGGGGAUGGCAGUCAGUCAUCUGUGAAGGAGAUUCCCUCGCAGUAAUUAAAAAAUGCAAUAUAAAAGGUCAAGAUCGAUCAAUGAUAGGGGUAUAUAUUCAUGAUAUUCAACAGAAAAUAAGUGAGUUCAACAGCAUCAGAUUUCAACAUACACCAAGAUCUGCAAAUAAUCUUGCACAUAUUCUUGCAACAGAAACCCUAAGAAGGAAAGAGGAGGUAUACCUGGAAAUGGAGGUUCCUGAGUAUGCCAAAGAUCAAAGAAGAUAUGAUCGGUUGCGUGAACCAAAUUAGAAAGCGCCAGGAGAUGAAGAAAGGAAGGAAGAAAGCUUCAAAACAAAAAGAAAGUGAAACGAUUUAGAAGGAAAAGUUUUGAAAGAAGAA
rnacentral:lncRNA from 1 species